GACGAACGCUGGCGGCGUGCUUAACACAUGCGAGUCGAACGGAAAGGCCCUGCUUUUGUGGGGUGCUCGAGUGGCGAACGGGUGAGUAACACGUGAGUAACCUGCCCUUGACUUUGGGAUAACUUCAGGAAACUGGGGCUAAUACCGGAUAGGAGCUCCUGCUGCAUGGUGGGGGUUGGAAAGUUUCGGCGGUUGGGGAUGGACUCGCGGCUUAUCAGCUUGUUGGUGGGGUAGUGGCUUACCAAGGCUUUGACGGGUAGCCGGCCUGAGAGGGUGACCGGCCACAUUGGGACUGAGAUACGGCCCAGACUCCUACGGGAGGCAGCAGGGGGGAAGAUUGCACAAUGGGCGGAAGCCUGAUGCAGCAACGCCGCGUGCGGGAUGACGGCCUUCGGGUUGUAAACCGCUUUCGCCUGUGACGAAGCGUGAGUGACGGUAAUGGGUAAAGAAGCACCGGCUAACUACGUG
rnacentral:rRNA from 1 species